GGUCCCUUAGUUUAAUGGAUAGAAUGUGAGAUUCCGGUUCUCAUGGUACAGGUUCGAUUCCUGUAGGGACCAC
rnacentral:tRNA from 1 species